ACUAUACUGGGGUGUUAGGACCCACACAGACCACAGGGUGAGCGCCCUCUGUUGGCCUCACUAACGCCUCUUCCAGCAGCUACCUAGUUUUCCCAGGAGGUCUCCCAUCCAGGAGGGACCAAGAGGAGGCUCUUCAGUGCGAAAAGGAAGACACCAGCCAGGGUAAAACUCAUGCCAGUGGUGCAGCUCUCCCGCUGAAAUCACCCCAAAAAUAUCAGCUGUACCAAAAGAUGAUGUACAGGAGACACAGAGGUGAACGUAGAUGGGAGUUUAUUUACAAACAGCAGGGAAACAGUGAUGCAGGAAUGGAGAUUGUGGAUGGAUGGACGAACGUCAACGGAGUGCACACAUGUAGGAGGUAGGUAGACACACACAGACGAAGAAGCACGGAGACUGAGGAAACAUGCUGGAGUGAAACAGGGAAGUAGAUCGGCAGGCUUGGAGAUAAACAUGAAGAAGUCCUUUACAUAGGAACGCAUAAACCAGACCGGACAACUGAGUGAGGUGAGUGAUGUGCUUAAAUAGUCUGGUGAUGGUGUGCUGAUGAGAAGCAGGUGUGUGUGAUUGUCAGAUCAGGAGCGGUGAUGAGGAAGUGUGUGCAGGUGUGGGCCAGGGAGGAUGAUGGGAAAUGGAGUCUUUGGAAGCCAAGACAGACUCUCAAUGAGUAGGUACUUAAUUUCAAUAAGUACUUACUUAACGAGCGCUAAAAGAGUAGGUACUUAAUAGCCAAAUCUCGUUAAGUAUGAAUGCGAUCCGGACGUAAUCCGCCAUGUUGACAUUAUCAUGUGACCUACGACGUAAUCACAGGUGCAACAACUUUAAAGAUAUGAGUGACAGGUUUAAUUCAUCUAUCUGUAAAUAUCUUGAUAUUGAUUAAACAUGCUUAUUUUGUGGUCUUGUUGAAGAAACAGCUGCCAGUAAUUUUGUGAUUGUACUACAACUAAUAUAUUUUGGGUUAAUUUAAAGUUCUUAUAUUUUUAAAUACUAAUGUGACCCUCAGUUUAUUUUUUGUUACGAAAACCCAAAUUCGCAUGAAUAUGUUGUUAAUUUCUUUAUUUUAUAUGCAAAAAUGUUCAUCCACAAGCAAAAUUGGCAUAAAUCUCCUUUUUUCCCUCUUUUUCUUGUUGAAUUUGCUCUAGUUUCAUCCCUCAGGCUUAUAAAUAACAAAUACUUUUUAUGCAUUAUGAUGUAUUCAAAAUAUUUAACCUCGUCAUCAUGCUUAAUCUCAAACUAUGAUGUACACAAACCCAUUUGUUUUGUUUGUCAUUAUUAUUGUUCAUUGUUAAAGACACCACCAUGGUAUUUACCCUGAUCUUGUAUGUAAUUAUAGGUCCUGCAGUAAAAGUAAAGACAUGAGUGACAGGUGCACUAACACCUCACAGCACCAGUAACUCCACAACACUACCUAGUGCGGUUUUCCUCAGUGUUUGCAAUGUCUGCACAGAGAAGACGUCGGGCAGCUGCUCGAAGAUCUCGCCUUUGAAGAAGUAUAAACUACUUAAAAAUUAAGAUUACCCCAGAAUUCACUGCUUUGCUAGCCCACCCCAACACUUAUACACAAUAUUGAUAAAUGCUGACCAAAACUUAAUUAUAUUACUUUUCGUUUUACUUCUUUAAUAAAACAAGCAAAAUGUAAAGUUUUGUCAAAUGACAUAGGUAUGCAUGAACACAAAUCCAGCUGAUGUGAAUACAUCUGAAUUCACAGUCAAGCAAUGAAUUAAUGCAUGAAUUAAUAAAAUAUAUAAAUUUACUGAUAAUAAUAGCAUAAUUAAUAAAAAAAAAAGUAAAAGAAUUAAUGAAAGUAACAAUGACAAUAAAUAAAUGCAUGUACAAGUCAACAGCACAUGAAACAAAGCUUUAUUCAAAUUUAUUGUUCUAACAAUCACGUAUUUGCGGACGGUGAUCCACACAUCCUGCUGCCAUCUCAACACAGCUGUGCCCAUUCUGCAGCUGACCACCGUGAACACCUUCACCUGCCUUUGUCAUCCAGACAGAUUAAAACAUUUUACAAUUCACAUCAGCAUUCUGUUUCUUGUCAUAUUUCCUUUCAUAUUUUUACAAUUACAGGCUAAUUUCUGUUGUAGCUUCAUUACUUUUGUGGUGUAGUGGGUUAAACCGCUGAGCUGGUCAGCAGAAGGUUUCUGGUUCGAUCUCUGCAGCGUCUCCACCAGUGUGUCCUUGAUCAAGACACUUCACUCCAGGUUACUCCAGCGGGAUCAUCCCUGUAAUAAGAGCACUAUGCUCUCGCUGGUUCUGGACUCACUGAGGAUGAAGAAAUCACAGCAACAUCCGGUCCAGAUGAGGCAGUAAGGGCAGGAGGAGUGAUGGAGGGUCUCAUCCAUGGCUCUACACCAUUCCCAGGAUCUGCUGU